GGGAUUAGAUACCCCACUAUGCACAGCCCUAAACUUUGAUAGAAUUUUACACUCUCUAUCCGCCAGGAUACUACGAGCCCUUGCUUAAAAUCCAAAGGACUUGGCGGUGCUUUAGACCCACCUAGAGGAGCCCGUUCUAGAACCGAUAAUCCUCGUUAAACCUCACCCUCCCUUGUUUAUAUACCGCCUAUAUACCGCCGUCAUUAGCCUACCCUGUGAAGGAUUUAUAGUGAGCAAAAGCAGUACAACUUAAAAUGUCAGGUCGAGGUGUAGCGUAUGAGAGGGGAAGAAAUGGGCUACAUUCCCUAGUUUAGGGAAUACGAAAAAUGUAAUGAAAAACACACUAGAAGGUGGAUUUAGAAGUAAGUAGAAAAUAGAGUGUUCUACUGAACCCGGCUCUGAAGCGUGCACACACCGCCCGU
rnacentral:rRNA from 1 species